UGGGGAAUAUUGGACAAUGGGGGCAACCCUGAUCCAGCAAUGCCGCGUGUGUGAAGAAGGCCUUCGGGUUGUAAAGCACUUUAGUUGGGGAAGAAGGUGAGUAGUUUAAGAGAUGAUUCACUUGACGGUACCCAAAGAAUAAGCACCGGCUAACUCUGUGCCAGCAGCCGCGGUAAUACAGAGGGUGCAAGCGUUAAUCGGAAUUACUGGGCGUAAAGGGUGCGUAGGUGGUUAUGUAAGUGAGCUGUGAAAUCCCCGGGCUUAACCUGGGAAUUGCAGAUCAGACUGCAUAGCUGGAGUGCGAUAGAGGGUAGUGGAAUUUCCGGUGUAGCGGUGAAAUGCGUAGAUAUCGGAAGGAACACCAGUGGCGAAGGCGACUACCUGGAUUGACACUGACACU
rnacentral:rRNA from 1 species